UACGUAGGGGGCAAGCGUUGUCCGGAUUUAUUGGGCGUAAAGAGCGUGUAGGCGGCCAGGCAGGUCCGUUGUGAAAACUCGAGGCUCAACCUCGAGACGUCGAUGGAAGCCGUCUGGCUAGAGUCCGGAAGAGGAGAGUGGAAUUCCUGGUGUAGCGGUGAAAUGCGCAGAUAUCAGGAAGAACACCGGUGGCGAAGGCGGGACUCUGGGCCGAUACUGACGCUGAGGAGCGAAAGCGUGGGGAGCGAACAGG
rnacentral:rRNA from 1 species